GUUUGAUCAUGGCUCAGAUUGAACGCUGGCGGCAGGCCUAACACAUGCAAGUCGAACGGUAGCACAGAGAGCUUGCUCUCGGGUGACGAGUGGCGGACGGGUGAGUAAUGUCUGGGAAACUGCCCGAUGGAGGGGGAUAACUACUGGAAACGGUAGCUAAUACCGCAUAACGUCGCAAGACCAAAGAGGGGGACCUUAGGGCCUCUUGCCAUCGGAUGUGCCCAGAUGGGAUUAGCUUGUAGGUGAGGUAACGGCUCACCUAGGCGACGAUCCCUAGCUGGUCUGAGAGGAUGACCAGCCACACUGGAACUGAGACACGGUCCAGACUCCUACGGGAGGCAGCAGUGGGGAAUAUUGCACAAUGGGCGCAAGCCUGAUGCAGCCAUGCCGCGUGUAUGAAGAAGGCCUUCGGGUUGUAAAGUACUUUCAGCGGGGAGGAAGGGAGUGAGGUUAAUAACCUUAUUCAUUGACGUUACCCGCAGAAGAAGCACCGGUUAACUCCGUGCCAGCAGCCGCGGUAAUACGGAGGGUGCAAGCGUUAAUCGGAAUUACUGGGCGUAAAGCGCACGCAGGCGGUCUGUCAAGUCGGAUGUGGAAUCCCCGGGCUCAACCUGGGAACUGCAUUCGAAACUGGCAGGCUGGAGU
rnacentral:rRNA from 1 species